GGAGGAUCAAAAUUGCCCAUCAAGAACGAAGAAUUGGCCUCAGCAAUGGCUGAUUCAUCAGUGAAAUCUGAUAAGAAGAAGAAGAAGAAGAGGAAGCUAACCAGCCCCCAAGAUAAACCAACGCCUCCAAAGAAGAAGCACAGAGGUGAUGAACCAGAGAAAGAGAGAGAAGUCGCUGUAGGUGGAAGCUCAAAUCAGAAAGAAUCUUAUUCUAUGAUUGAAGCAGAGCUUCCAUGGAGGAAUCUUCAACUUAUUCUAUCACUUCAGAGCAAAGAUAUUGACCUUCAAAAGAAGGUGGAACUAGCCUUCAGUUAUGUGAAUUUGAGGGAAAAAGGAGCCAAUGAAGCUGAAGAAGAUUAUGAAACAGUGAAAGUAUCCCGCCUUGUAGUUUUUCUUAACGAUUGGGUUCAGUCACUGUUGAUUUCUAUGGAUAAGAAAAUCAGAGUUGAGUCUGGAGAUGUUGAGGCAUGCUUAGAUUAUAGAUGCUGGCUGAUAUUCAAGUUCUGUUUGGAAGAAUCUUUGAGGUUGCAAGUUUCAUUGAGUCUCUCGCGGAAUCUUUUGCGAGCUUUCUGUUGUAUUGCGAGAAAUGCUUUGUUAUUACUUGCAGAGAUGUCUUUGCAUUCUAAAGAUUUGGUUUUUAUUGGUAAAGGAUUUGAAUUGUAUAAUGUUGUCUUGGAUUGUGUUUCUCUGGUAUUCUUAUCUCAUGGUGGCUUGUCGAAUGAAAAUUUGGACUUAUGGAUAUCUACAGUCUGUGCUGUUCUUGAGCUUGUGCACAAAAUUUAUGAUGAGAACCUUGAUGUUAGAAAUGCGGGUGAUUUUGCCCUUAGGUUCUCCUGCUUGCUGCUUGAGCCAUUUGCCAAGUUUCUAAGAGUUCACCCAACUCGGAAAACUGGAUUUCGUGAUUUUGUAGAUGAACUUCUUGGGCCUCUAUUGCAUUCCUUGGGUGUCCUGCAUCUUCAUUUUGAUGGAAGCAAUCCUGGCUUGACGAGAAAUUUGUUGACUACAGUUGAAGAGGUUUUAUCACAGGGACUGUUUCACUCAAUCCAUAUAGAUGGAUUUCUUAGCUUAAGAAGUACAGAAAAAUAUUCUGCAUCUAGUGAUGGAAAAAUGAAAGAAUCAAAAACAGUCAUUAAAAGUUACCAUAGACAUUUGUUUGAUAAGCUGGAAAGGAUUAUGGCUUCAAAGAAGGAUUCUGAACUGAGUGGCUUAGGAGAACUAUUUCAAUUGCUUGUUGAUCGGGUGAAAAAUCAAAAAGUUGCUUCAAUUUUGUCUGAAGAUAAGAUGGCAGAGAAAACUGAAGGGUUCAGGCAUUUGUCUGGUCAUAGUUCAACAAUUUUACACCAAAGUAGCAGUGCUACGCCAGAAAAUAGUUAUGGCUCUAGUAAGUUGACUGCGGAAAAAAGAAAAUUACUUUUUGAUUUUUUUGUACAGAUUAUGGAGCCUCUUUUUCUUCAGAUGAAUGGCUACCUUCAAACUAAUCUAGAAGUCGGCCCUCUGUUACCUGAUGUUCACUGUAUACUCAAAUCAACAAAUCAUUUACUAGCCACCCUUUUUCAGGAACAAAUAUACAUAAAAACAGAGGAUAUCUCUGAAGGAGCUUGCUUUAAUUUCUUGAAGAAGGUUUAUAAUACUAUUUUCUCAUUUUCCACCAAAUUACUUUCUUUGCCAACAUAUGAUAUGGACAACCAGAAGCAAGAGAGAUUGACUUUAUUAGCAAAACAGCUCUUUGUUGCUGUACAAUACUUUUUGGAUAUUGAGUGUGAAGUUAUUGAGAAUGAUUUGACUAGCUUAUGGUUUAUGGUGCUUUCUUAUUUGGCCCUUGGUUAUUCCUUUAAGAAUGUGCCAUAUCAAUGGUCAUUAAAUGCCCAAAUACUAGGGUGUGGAUGCCAGUUGGUUAAGCUUUAUGGUGAACUUCGGCAGGUGGAGAAUACCAUAUUUGCACUCUGUAAAGCAAUGAGGCUUAUAAUAGUACAAGAGAAUAGUAGUGGUGGUGAACAGAAUUAUGGUUGUUUUGGGUCCUGUGCAACCUUUUUACCUUAUGAAGCAUAUGCAAAAUCAUUGGGAAUGCUGUUAUGUGCACAAGAAUUUAAAGUAGCCAUUCAAAAUGGUAUUAAGUCCAUACCAGAAGGGCAGGCAAGUGAAUGUAUUCGGCAAUUAAUCAUAGAUAUAUCAGAGUCCAUGGAAUGGAUGAAAAGUUGUUUUUCAGUGGCUGAUAAAAAGGAGCUGCAGCAUUCAAAUACAGGAAGUAGGAUGCUCCUUUUUGAUCUGCAAGCUGAACUUUGUGGAAGAGGAUUGUCUGAAAUGUAUGCAUUAGUGUUAGAUUCAUUGACUGUUACAGUUGGGAACAGUAACCUUGUUGGACGAUCUGUAAAGGACUUGAUUACUGAAAUUCGUCCAAGCAUGAGUAUUCUGGCUGGAUUGCAGCCAGAUCGUAUCCCUGAGUUCCUUUCUUAUAUCACUGGAAAAACUUCUGAUAAGAGACCUGAUGAAAACAAACAUAAUGUGUUGAACUUUGGAGUGUCCACCCACUUAGUCUUUGUGUUCUUUUUUCGCUUGUACAUGUCCUGCCAAAGCUUAUAUAGGCAAGCGAUCACACUCAUGCCUCCAGAUACAUCAAGAAAAAUGUCAUCAGUAAUGCAGGAUUCACUUACAGCGUACUCUGGAAGAGAUUCGAUGGAGAGAACUGAUUGGCCAAAUGAAGGUUAUUUUUCUUGGAUUGUCCGCCCUUCAGCUUCUCUUCUUGUCAUCAUACAAUCUGUCUCUGACCUUUGCCUUCAGGGCAGCAAUUCGGAAUGCUCUCCUUUGAUAUAUGUUUUGCAUGCUAUGGCUCUUCAGAGGCUUGUGGAUUUGAACAGGCAGAUAAAUUCAUUGCAGUAUAUACUGCAAAGAAUUGAUGGUAUCAUCCAGGUCAAGUUGCUUGAUGAUGCUAGCUUGUCACUGUGUUGUAAAAGACGCAGAAAGUGGAGAAGAGUCCUCUCUGCUUUAAAGGAGGAGGCAGAGGGUCUUACUGAGUUCAUCACAGGUUACCUCUCAUUAUUUGAUAAUGAUAGAGUUUCAGUUUGCGCUAAUGAUAAUGCAACUUGUCAGGCUACCUAUGUCCAAGACUUGGAUGAAACUGAUAAAUGGGAUUUGGAUGUUUGUUCUGUGACCAAGGAGUCAUUGCCUACUGCAAUAUGGUGGAUUAUUUGUCAAAAUUUUGAUAUUUGGUCUAUUCAUGCUAGUUCAAAGAAGUUAAAGACUUUCCUCUCCCAUGUGAUAUGCACUUGUCUACCCUCUAUAACAAGAGACUUCACGGAUGGGGAAAAAAACAGGGCUGAUGAAGCUGGUUCUCUGAAUAAAAUCACAGUGCAUCAAAUCUCAUCAGAACUUCUGACUAAUUCCAUUCUGUAUGAACAUAAAUUUGUCUGCAAGCAUUUGGCGUCGACAUUUUGCCGUCUAUUGAAGAAAUCAGUCCUAUCAUUAUUUAGGGAUUUUUCAAUUGGGGAUGUUGACUUAAAUUCUUGUCCUAAUUGGCAAGAGAUUUUAAGUGCAGUUGGAAGCUUACCGAUGGCUGUUCCAGGAAGCAAACCUGUUACUUAUGAUAAGAUUUCAGAGGGAAAACCAAGUUCUCAUUUGUUGCUUAAGAUGCCUCUUCAUAUUGACACAGAAUUAAAGGGCAUGAAAUUUACAACUUGUCAGAGUUUUCUUAGGCUUUUAUGUUGGAUGCCAAAAGGAUGUAUGCGGUCCAAAUCAUUCUCACUCUAUGUCACUUACCUACUAAACCUAGAAUGGCAUGUAAUUAGGAGCUUAUCAGAAUUUCGAGAUGUAUUGUCCUCACAUAAGCAACAUGAACUCUUAAGGUUGCUUGUAUCCUGCCGGAGGGCCUUGAAAUAUAUAUUUAUGGCAUUUAAUGGGGAGAAGACAAGAACUACUCAAUCCCCUGUCAUUUCAGUACUAUCUGAGGGUUUAUUUUCUGUUUCAUGGUUUUUCAAGUCAGUGUUCAUGGUGGUUGGGCUUCAAGAGACACUGUCAAAACAUCAUGCUGAUGAAAUUAGAGACAUAAUAUUUUCAUUGCUGGAUCACACAUCCCAUGUGUUCUUGACAUUGAGCAAGUAUCAUUCUACUUGUGCAAUUGACUCGAUAAUUGCUAAAAAACCUCAAGAAGAGAAGCUCAGCUUUAAUAUUUCUGAGGAACACAUUGCUUUAAAUGAAUCUGAUCCAUGUUUGGAUUCCUCAGAAAAUAGUGAAGCCUGGAAAAGUAUUCUCCUUGUGGCUGAGAGUUUGAAGGAUCAGACACAGGGCUUACUUAUUUCUUUGAAGGAUGGCCUUAUCAAUGAAAAAGCAGGAUGUGUUCACAAUUUGAACAAACUAUCCUCUAUAGUUUCUUGUAUCAGCGGGUUCUUGUUGGGCCUAUCAUCUGUCUUCAACCAUACAAACGCGACAAAUAUUGAUAAGGUGAAAUUAUUGGGAUGGAAUUCUGAAGCUUUGUCCAAAUUUGAUCUAUGUAUCAAUGUGUUCGCAGAUUUUAUUAGUUUCAUCUUGCAUCUAUUGUUUGUUGAGGAUGAUCAUCGGCCCAGAUGCUUAUCUGAUGAUAAAAAUGUUCAAAAGCCUUCUGAUAGAAGUUGUUUGUCAGGUUCAGAGGAGUUUUCAGAUAAAGAAUCUCCUGAGACUGACACUUUGGGUGGUGCACAGAAUCAGGAAUUAAAUGCUGCAAAAAACUGCUCAACAUCAUUAAGUAUUCAUGAUAAUUUUCAGAAUGCUAGUAUGCAUAAAUAUAAUUUUCAGUUGGAAGAAGCAGGCACUGUUGCCAGCAUUCUUAGUAAGCUUGAUACCUAUGAAGUUAUAUCACUCAAUAAAUGUUUGUUGCAAAGCUUGAUUAAAGGUGAUCAUCCUGAAGCCGCAAUUUUGCUCAGGCAAUUAUUGAAUGCUGCUUCAGCUCUUUUGAGGCUGAACUUACCGACCAAUUAUGCUUCCAUAUUGUCCAGCUUGGUGCCUAGUUGUUUUGGUUUAUCUAAUGUUUUGCUGUUGAAGUUAGCAGAAAUGUCAGAGGUGCCACAACCAUUCUCUUUUGUUUGGUUAGAUGGUGUUCUCAACUAUCUGCAAGAAUUAGGGAGCUAUUUUCCUAAAUGGAACUUGACUUUGCAUGCCAAGCUGAUAGAGUUGCACUUAAAUGCUUUAGGAAAAUGCAUUACUUUGCAGGGGAAAAUGGCUACUCUGGCUUCUCAUGAGACAGAGUCAAGUGAUAAGAUACUCUGGGGUAAUAAAGGAUCAUCUGAAAUAUCUCUUUCUCUUAUGUCACUAUUCUUGGAUGAAUUUAGGGCUAAAUUGAAGAUGUCAUUCAAAGUAUUAAUAAGCAAGUCCUCAGACUUGCAUGUUUUGUCUGCAAUACAAGCUAUUGAGAGAGCAUUGGUGGGAGUGCAUGAAGGCUGUAAAAUAAUCUACAACAUAAAUACUGGAAGUGCAGAUGGUGGAAAGUUUUCUGCAACUGUUGCAGCUGGUAUUGACUGCUUGGAUCUAGUUCUGGAAUACGUUUCAGGUAAAAAAUGUGUAAGUGUUGUUAAGAGGCACAUUAAGAGUUUAAUUGCUGCUUUGUUCAACAUUAUUCUACACUUGCAAAGCCCAUUAGUUUUCUGUGAUACUACAGUUGGUGGUAGUGUUCAUAAGGGUCCAGAUCCAGGAGCAGUUAUUCUUAUGUGUGUUCAGGUGCUAACAAGAGUUUCUGCAAAAAAAAAAUGGUUUCAAAUGGAUUCCUGGCAUGUGGGGCAGUCUUUACGCAUACCUGCAGCACUUUUUCAACAUUUUGGUCAACUUUCUAAAGGUCCACUUUUAUCCGAUAUAUUCUUGCUUGUGGAUAACCAAGACUCUGAUCCUGUAGCAGGCAUGCAUUCUUGUGUUGUAGAUCAACGAUUCUCAAUAGAAUUGUUCAGCGCAUGCUGCCGAUUAUUGUAUACCACUUUGAAGAAUCACACAAGCAAGUCAGAACAGUGCAUUUCUCUGCUUCAAGAAUCUUCCUGUGUUCUUCUUCAUUGCCUGGAGAUGGUGGGUAAUGACUUGACAGUCAGACAAGGUCAUUUUUCAUGGGGAGUUCAAGAGGGAGUAAAAUGUGCCUGCUUCCUUCGGAGGAUUUAUGAAGAGUUACGACAGAAAAAAGAUGUCUUCGGCCGGCACUGUUUCAAGUUUUUAUCAAAUUACAUAUGGGUUUAUUCAGGAUAUGGUCCCCUUAAAACUGGCAUUAGAAGGGAGAUAGACGAGGCUCUGAAACCUGGUGUGUAUGCUAUAAUAGAUGCUUGCUCAGCUGAUGAUCUUCAGCAUCUUCAUUCUGUAUUCGGAGAGGGUCCUUGCAGAAAUACACUAGCAAAUUUGCAACAUGAUUACAAGCUGAAUUUCCAAUAUGAAGGGAAAGUCUAACCUAAGAUUCUUCUACUGGGGAAAUAUAUUAGCAACUAAUAUAAAUUUCAACCGGUAAGUCUUCAAUCAUUGGGAGAAAGUAAAGCAAUUUUUUAUGAUCUAAACGAUAUAAAGUGAUCGUGAAAUUUUGCAAAGCUUGAAAAUUGCAAUUUUCAUAGUCCCCAUUUCAUAUUGUUCCUGUGGCUGUCAAACAUGCCAUAAAUUUUCAAUCCCACUAACCAUCGUUAACAAAAUGCUGUAAAGGCGCACAUAUAUAUAUAUUCAACUCAUUAUAGGCUUAAAGAUGAAACUUAUAAUAGUUGUCACUAUUAGAUGUUUAUGGAAGUCUUUCCACAAAUUCUUUCCAAAUUUUUGGGUGGGGCUUGGCAUGAUGUUUCUCUUGGCUGUACUGUACUUCUAAUCUUUUCUAUAUUAGUUGUGUUGACUUUUUCUAUGCUGUUGAGCUGCAAUAUUGAUUUCUAGAGAUUUCUAC
rnacentral:misc_RNA from 1 species